rnacentral:tRNA from 1 species
GCCUUCAUAGCUCAGUUGGCAGAGCGCCACACUAGUAAUGUGGAGGUCGUGAGUUCGAAUCUCGCUGAAGGCU